ACCACUUAAAGUCAAAAUCCAGUAAUUUUCAGUCUUAUUUUUCCACUUCUUUGUCCCCCUUGCUUCACUUGGUAUUGUCAGUAGCCAUCAAUCUGAAGAAUUCCUCCUUCCUCUGCUGCCACCUACCAGUUUAUUUCUCUGCUGCAGCAGAAGGGUAUAUAGAAAAAGUUCUUGCUUACUGCUCACAUUUAACAGAAAAAAUUUCAUAUUUUCACAUUUGCACCAAAUUUUCCAUGUCUGCUCCAGAUAUUCCCCCAAAAAAAUCAGAAACAGAAGUCCCAAUUACAGGAAAAAAAAAAAAUCGCACAAUGUAUGAUCAUUGCUCAUGCUAAACUGGGAAAAUUUUAAAAAGGAAGGAAGUAGAAAGAUUUAGACACUAAGUAGCUGCCAUCUCAAUAAGCCAUCCCCGUUCUCUUUACCUACCCCUACCAUCUAUCAAUACAUACACAAUCUAUAAUUCUGUCUACCCAGUUUACAACUGCAAAAUUAAAAUUCAGAGAUCACCAAAAAAAAUCUGUGGAAGACGUAUCAUUAUAAAAGAAUUUUUAAAAGUAAUUCUAGAAACUAGGGGUGUUAGGUGCUUUACCUGUUUGAGUUUUCAAUGUUCUGGACUGCUUAUUGCCCAAUGGCUCUGAAUACAUUAAAGCACGAACACAUACGCCACCUAUAUUUAAAAUAGGGUAGCAUUUGUAUGCCCACAUAAGCACUAGAUUUUUUUCUUUGCAAGAAAAUAAAUUCAUUAAGUCCUUUAAAAAGGGCUAAUCAUUAAAGCAUAUUUCCUCAGACUGUAUAUACAUACAUAGAAAAAUCAGGGGAACAAAAGACAGAAUGACAAAUAUUGUAGCAGUUGUAGGAGAACUGGGCAUUAGCACAGCAUUAAGUGUUCUCUGCUUGUUAAAAUCUAAGAUUCAUUUAUUUAUAUUCCCAUUCUUUUUUGUCACUGGAGUUCACAUUUCAAAUUUUAUUGUACAUUAGCUAGUAAGGAAUAGUAUAUCUAGUAAUGAGCUAAUGAGAACAGUCAUGACCUGUUUUUGUUCCACCCUCCCACUACCUUCACCCCAAAAUAAAUGCGUAAUUUCGCCAACUUUAAAAAAUAUCAAGAAAUAAAACAAACACUGAGAUAAACACCAAAGGCUAGUCAACAGUGGCACUGCAAUAUUGUUUCUACUUUCUCAUUCCUUCCCCAAUCUCAAACCCCACCCUUUUGACCUCUGUGUAUGGGAUGCGCCUGAGCAGGAGAAGGUGGUGAUGUCAGGACUGCGCCGUUCCCACAGGUGCUCCUACAGGCCUGCUGUGCUUCUGGGAACUGGGGCACAGGGAAGUCUGUCUGACUGAAACCCAAAACAACAACAGUUCACCUAGUAAAUGUGAAUACGGUAAAAUGUAAAAGUGAGAUGAUUCUUUGCAAACCAGCAGUAUUUCAGUGUGGGCAGAAUGGAGGUUGUUAGAACCCCCGCGCCCUGGGCGGUCACAUGUGCUACACACACUAAUGGUGGCCAUUCUAUUAGGAGGGCACGAAGGUCUCCUAGGCAAGCUUGAGUAUACACCAGCAAUUCUUGCAGGAGUUUAGCUGGGAUCCCUUUAGUGGUAUAUUUCAGUUCAACAGAGAAUUACUUGUGACUAAAGGUGUUCAGGAGACUGUCCCUAUCUUUUAUGAGUCAACUGACGCACAGAACGGGCUAAUGACCUAUUACAUGCCCUCCUCCACUGCAAAAAGAGCACCUAUGGCCAGGAUUUCCUAGUCACUAGUCAUCUAGUGAUGUCGAGCCACUUUGGAUAGGACAUUUAAAGUCACAGGAUAAAAUUAUGCAGAAGCACAUGCUGGAAAGGGACCUGGCUACUUUCAAUGAAAUCUUAUCUACUAGAAAGAGGAUUAUUGCCCAAAAUGAUAUAGGAGCUUUACCUGUGAUGGUUGAGGGCAGCAGAAAGCAGAAAAGGGCAAGUGGACUGGGACAGAAGGCUAUCAAAAUGAGCAAGCUGUAUUCCUGUUCCUGCCCCUAACUAUUGGCAUGCUCUUGGUUAGUCUGUUCAACCACAUUGUGCUUCAGAAAUACUUCCCUAUCUGCUUCAAACUGUAAUUUCGGAGUGUUUAAGCCACAAUUGUAUGAUAACCUCAAAGUGUUCAUGUUUUUUUUGACACAGUGUCUCAGAAACGCUGAAAUGAUUGGUUCUGCUGUCAUACUGCUCCUAAUUUAAUCUACAUGUCACUGCUACCUUUCGCUUUCAUAACCAUGUUACAAAAGGAGAAGCACUAAGGCCAACUGAGUGCUAUGGUGGGGUUUUUCCAUACAUAGAACCUAGAGCUUACUUUUACCUUUUCAAAACUAGUUUUCCAUACCUGUCAACUCCUAAUUGAUGUCUUUAUACUGUGAGCUCACUUUGUAUUCGGAACACCAACCCCUGAAAAAGCUUAAGCCAGAGUAGCACAAUGGAAGAAACAAACAAACCCAAAACAAAAACAAAGCCAAAAAAAGUCACACUCUGAAUUAUUUCAUUAUAGACAUAUAUGCAAAGAGUGGAGUUAUCGAAAUGCCUAAACAAAAUUCCCACAGAAGUCCUGAGUUCAUCCCAAUCAACUCAAACUUUAUCCCCAAAAGCUCUUCUUCAAUCAAAUUAUUUGACAUGUUAAUGCGUUUUUUAACAAGUGAGUUAUGACAAACUCGUGGUUGCCUUUAAAGUGCACAAAGAAAGGAAAUUUUUUAUAAAAGAAAGUAAAGUUAGCCUUGUGGUGGAAAGAAAGGAGAGUCAAAUUACCUGCCAGCCGGCUGGGGCUGUGACUGAAUCCAAACCGCUGCAUUUAGCAUUCAUUACACAGCUGCAUUAUUGGGGGAAGGGGAGUUUAGAAGGGCACUGACCCCGAAAGUUCUCAAUACUUCUCACUCAUCAUCAGGAAGGGGGAAGAAGGAAAGUUUUUUCUCUGGGUAUAUUUUUGUUUGUUUGUAUUUGGUUUUUUUUGGCUCCUGAAAAGGCUGGCAAAGAACAGUAACAGUGCAAACAGUUAGAAUAUUUCUUUAAAAAUAUUUUUUAAAUGUAAAACAUUAAGGAAUUUUAAAAGCCAAAUUUUCAUUAAUAUAGAAAAAUUUUUCACUAGAGUUAGGCAGCCACCCCAAAACAGCAUGGCAAAAUGGUACUGGUAUAAAGGAAAUAAAAUAGCACACAAAAAUCCAAAACAAAACUAAAAACAUUUCAAAUUAAACCUGAAAGACUAGAAGAUUCCAACAGCAGAUUUCUGUCCACUACUGAAACAUUCCAAAAUCCAAGCUUCAAAGGUGCCUAAAUUGUAUGUUAAAUGAAACUUUUUUUAAGAAAGAAAAAAGAAAGCAGUGAACCUGGUUAUAAAUCCUGCAAUAUAUUACAUUUUAAAAAAUCCUAGUACAAUAAAACAAAAUUUAAAUAAAAUUAAACAAACAAACAAAUAAAAACAGUAGCAGCAGAGGUUACCUGUCUGAGCACCUACAUUUUCUUAGGAGGGGAUCGUGUCUCACCAGCCAAAUAGCCCAUUAACCUUCUCAAAAAGAGCGAGCCAGGUGAAAAAUAACACAAGAUUUGAUUUCACAAUGUCUCUAAGCUCCCCCAAGCCCCAAAUUGGGGGUUCAUUGAAUGAAGAUAAUUUAUUUUUCCAUUGCUUUCUUCUUGAGAAAAAGAAGAGAUGAUCUUGAAAGUCAAUGACUUUUUUCAAUGCCUUCAGUACCUUUGCUCAAAGUCUGGUAAAGGGCUUGAUGAAAGCAAGUCUCUUGCUGGAUUUUUCUAAUGUUCCAGGGUACUUCUCUUAUUGAUAGCACAUAUAGAAAGAUUUCAGAGUUCAUUGGAGAAAGGCCAGCAGAAAUGACCAAUUAUAGGCACCAAAAAAGAAAAAAGACUAUUAAAAAUUUUUCAGUGGAAUAGUUCAUAUGUAUAGAUAUCAAAGUCCAGUUUUCAUCAUGGGUGACAUAAAAACAACAUCAGAAAGAAUUAUUUAAAAAAUACAAUUUAGAAUUACAAUUUUUUUUUUAGAAUUACAAUUUUAACAAUAUACAAA
rnacentral:lncRNA from 1 species